GACGAACGCUGGCGGCGUGCUAUACAUGCAGUAGAACGCUGAAGAGAGGAGCUUGCUCUUCUUGGAUGAGUUGCGAACGGGUGAGUAACGCGUAGGUAACCUGCCUUGUAGCGGGGGGAUAACUAUUGGAAACGAUAGCUAAUACCGCAUAACAAUGGGUGACACAUGUCAUUUAUUUGAAAGGGGCAAUUGCUCCACUACAAGAUGGACCUGCGUUGUAUUAGCUAGUAGGUGAGGUAACGGCUCACCUAGGCGACGAUACAUAGCCGACCUGAGAGGGUGAUCGGCCACACUGGGACUGAGACACGGCCCAGACUCCUACGGGAGGCAGCAGUAGGGGAAUCUUCGGCAAUGGGGGCAACCCUGACCGAGCAACGCCGCGUGAGUGAAGAAGGUUUUCGGAUCGUAAAGCUCUGUUGUAAGUCAAGAACGAGUGUGAGAGUGGGAAAGUUCACACUGUGACGGUAGCUUACCAGAAAGGGACGGCUAACUACGUGCCAGCAGCCGCGGUAAUACGUAGGCCCCGAGCGUUUGUCCGGAUUUAUUGGGCGUAAAGCGAGCGCAGGCGGUUUGAUAAGUCUGAAGUUAAAGGCUGUGGGCUCAACCAUAGUUCGCUUUGGAAACUGUCAAACUUGAGUGCAGAAGGGGAGAGUGGAAUUCCAUGUGUAGCGUGAAAUGCGUAGAUAUAUGGAGGAACACCGGUGGCGAAAGCGGCUCUCUGGCUUGUAACUGACGCUGAGCUCGAAAGCGUGGGGAGCGAACAGG
rnacentral:rRNA from 1 species